rnacentral:rRNA from 1 species
UACGAAGGGGGCUAGCGUUGCUCGGAAUCACUGGGCGUAAAGGGUGCGUAGGCGGGUCUUUAAGUCAGGGGUGAAAUCCUGGAGCUCAACUCCAGAACUGCCUUUGAUACUGAAGAUCUUGAGUCCGGGAGAGGUGAGUGGAACUGCGAGUGUAGAGGUGAAAUUCGUAGAUAUUCGCAAGAACACCAGUGGCGAAGGCGGCUCACUGGCACGGUACUGACGCUGAGGCACGAAAGCGUGGGGAGCAAACAGG